rnacentral:rRNA from 1 species
AAUAUUGGACAAUGGUGGCCACCCUGCUCCCGCCAUGCCGCGUCUGUGAAGAAGGUCUUCUGUUUGUAAAGCACUUUAAGUUAGGAGGAAGGGCUUUAGGCUAAUACCCUGAAGUUUUGACGUUACCAACAGAAUACCCACCGGCUAACUCUGUUCCAGCAGCCGCGGUAAUCCAGAGGGUGCAAGCGUUAAUCGGAAUUACUGGGCGUAAAGCAAGCGUAGGUGGUUCAGUAAGAUGGGUGUGAAAUCCCCGGGCUUAACCUGGGAACUGCUUUCAUAACUGCUGAGCUAGAGUAAGGUAGAGGGUAGUAGAAUUUCCUGUGUAGCGGUGAAAUGCGUAGAUAUAGGAAGGAACACCAGUGGCGAAGGCGGCUACCUGGACUGAUACUGACACUGAGGUGCGAAAGCGUGGGGAGCAAACA